rnacentral:rRNA from 1 species
UACGAAGGGGGCUAGCGUUGUUCGGAUUUACUGGGCGUAAAGGGCACGCAGGCGGCCUAUCAAGUCAGAGGUGAAAUCCCAGGGCUCAACCCUGGAACUGCCUUUGAAACUGAUAGGCUAGAGAUCGAGAGAGGUGAGUGGAAUUCCUAGUGUAGAGGUGAAAUUCGUAGAUAUUAGGAGGAACACCAGUGGCGAAGGCGGCUCACUGGACUGGUAUUGACGCUGAGGUGCGAAAGCGUGGGGAGCAAACAGG